UCUGAAGACUGUCGCCCUGCUCUAAAAUUGUCCUGGACUGUUUUGGAAGCAGUCUGGUUGCUCUCUUAGAUUUCAGAAGGAAGAUUGCUGCCCAUGCCUCUGUGUUUAGGGAGGAAGCCGGGGCGGAAGGUAGUGCUUCCACACAGCAGCGAACUCUGCAACAACCCUCACUGACUGCAGUCUCUCAGCUCCUCCUGCAAACAGUCAAGCUCCUGCCUUUAGGAUGAUUUCCUUCUGGGAGGACUUGGUGCCACCACGGCUUUCAGUGACUUCUGCCAGCUUCUUGAAGCAGCUCUCAAUAGCAACUGUCUAGCUCAGGCAAACACAGGGUAUCCUGUGUGACUGAGGACACUGGACAUGUGGCUGUCCUGCCACCACCUCCCUGUGUUCCCGCAGGGCAGAGCGUUGUCCCCAGGAGUGAAGUAGCAGAGGGUGGAUGUAACUAGACCCAGGCAGUUUCUGUUGUUCUCCAACACAUCAGUGUUAUUCACAUCAGUGGAUGUGAAUAUUGUGCUAAACUGGUCUGAAGAGCCUGCAAAAACCAAGCAGAUGGUUUGAUUUGCAGCAGGAAAGAAAAAGAUGGAGAAAAAAGCAAUGGCUCUAGCAGUUUGAGAAGAGGCCCUCCAUUGACAAUUGAUC